rnacentral:rRNA from 1 species
UACAGAGGGUGCGAGCGUUGUCCGGAAUUAUUGGGCGUAAAGAGCUCGUAGGCGGUCUGUCGCGUCGGCUGUGAAAACCCGGAGCUCAACUCCGGGCCUGCAGUCGAUACGGGCAGACUGGAGUUCGGCAGGGGAGACUGGAAUUCCUGGUGUAGCGGUGAAAUGCGCAGAUAUCAGGAGGAACACCGGUGGCGAAGGCGGGUCUCUGGGCCGUUACUGACGCUGAGGAGCGAAAGCGUGGGGAGCGAACAGG